ACCUCUUAAAUUUUGUUUUAAGUUCUUUAAUAAUUCCAUGCAUUUUUCCCUCCCUGAAAUUAUUUUUUUAUCUUUAAGAUGUUUUCUUCUUUAUACUUCAGAGUGGUAUUUAUUUUUAUUUUUCUUUAAUCUGAAAAUGUAGUGUCAGCAAGUCACAGGCAUGCAUAUGAAAAACUUGUAAAAAAGUAUUAGGAAUUUUUUUCUAUAGCAGUUUCCAAGAAAAAUUUCCUUGUUGUAAAUUUAGAAGAUAUUUUUUUUCUAACAGGGAGAGAGGUAUAACACUUGUUAAAGCAAUCUUUUUCUAAAGGUAAAAUUUAUUCUAUAGAGUAAAUGCCUGGCAAUGGUAAAUGAGAAUCAAAAGUUACUUUGUUAAUUAAAAUUUUAAAAGCAAAUUCAUAGCUCUCUAUUAAAAAAGUUAUGAUAUGUUUAAGAUCUUACAGAUCAGUUUGCUUGAGUUUUUUCACUUUGAAGCCCAUUACAAUACUAUAGAAUACAAUAGGUAAAUGAUCCUAGACCAUUCAAGAGUAGAGAAAUUUUAGAAUAGUUCACCAUCAAUCACCAGACAGUUUGAAAGAGAAAAUUCUGCACCAUUGUUAUCCAAACUGCAUCAGACUCCAUACUUAGGCAUUUAAUAUGUGACACCAUGCAUGGAGUUCAUGGCCAUCUUUAACCAGAUACAGGAAAAAAAUGUUGAAAUUGUGAAAUCUCGCCACAUGCCAUUGGCUUUAUCAGGUAUCAUGUUAUCAUGUAAAAUGCUCCACAUCCAGAAUUUGUCUUAGUGUUUGUUCGUGGUGCUUGAAUGUGUUCCUUUAUCUGUGUAUUUUCUAGAAACUGGCAAUAUGUCUAUAAUUUGCAUUGUAAUUAAGAAGCAUACAUUAUUAUAUUUUAUUGGAAAUUUAGAAUGAAUACCUUUUUUCCAGAUGCAUUUUGAGAGAAGAUUUAGAGGUAUUGGCAAAUGAUGCCAUCAAGAGGGAAGAAGUUUUCAGGUUUAAAGCAGAGAAUGUCAGAGCCUUGAAUCUCUGCUAUAAACAAUACUAAGAUCAUAAUAACUCCCAACAAUACAUGAAUAAAUAACGUGGAAAGGAUAAAGUAUUGAAAAAAUAAUCUUUCUGCCUGACCUCCAAAUCUGUAUCUGACCAAAAAGUUUGAGAAGGCAAGGCAUUUGAUAUCAAAUAGAAAUGAGACAUCCAGGUUGGCUUUGUCUGUUCAUUCAUUCAUUCAUUCAUUCACAGCAUGUUUAGUAAGAACCUAGUAAGUCAGGCAAUGUGUUUGCUGGUUUGGGAGGACCUUGGGCCUCUAUGACAUUUGGUGCUCUCCUGCCUCUGCCCUUUUCCCCACAGCAUUCCAUGUGAAUUUCUGCACCACAAAACUUAUCACAAGGGAUUCCAAUCAUCUGUUCAUGUCUUUAUUUACCUCCCACAAGACUGCACAGUUCAAAUCUCAUUUUGGUAUUUUCAUUAUUAAAUAUAAUGCCAUAUCCUUUGUAGAUUUUCAAAUGUUGUUGAAGAAUGAGCAAAACAGAGUCUUUGGUUUUAGAAGUGACCUCAGGCUUACAUCACCUUGUAUAAUUAGGUUCAAAUCCUGAAAGAGUGGUUUCUGAAGACAAGAAAAGUUUGUAAGAAAGUUUGUAAGAAAGGAACUGACAUUUGGUUUUCCCAUAAUUGUAAUCAGGUAUUCACCAGAGAAGAGGUGUUGGUAUUCCAUAUAUCGAUGCUGAGUCUAGAGAACAAUAAGUUUGGUGUACCAGGAGUCUAGGGCUGGUGAGUGGUGAAGGGAGACUGGGACGAGAUUGUGAAGGCACAGACACCAUUCUAAGAAACUGGAUGAUUUCUUGGAGGUAGCAAUAUGCAAUGGGAGGAAACUCAAGACAGGGAAAAAAAUCAUUCAGAUAGAACCUUAAAGGAUAAAUGAGCAAAAAGGAACUAUUAUCCAAGAGAUCUCUUUAGAAUUUAUUAGAGAAACUCAAUAGGUAAGAGAUUUAAGUCUGAACCAAGAUUUUGGCAUUGAGUCUAACGGAAUAUUUGGGUGUUCUGUAUUUAGACUUGUCUUAGAAGAUGGGCCUGUAUCAUCAUAUCUCUGCCUGCUCUAUAGCCUAUUACACUUGCAUUCCAAAACCUGCUAAGCAUCAUUCGAACAGUCAAGCAAAGGAAGUGACAUAAGUUACCUGUAAUCAGUGCCUUAUAUUCCAUUCAUAAUGCCAAGGCCAAACAUGAUAAUUUGCAGCAUAUUAGAAUUUAAAUUGGAACUUUCACCAGAGUGUUGAUUUCAUGACCAUGUUCUUGUUUUCAAGUAUGGGGUUGAUGCAGUUCAACAUAUAGCCGUCGAUGCUGUUGCUUCAUAUAUUUUUUAAUAAAUAAAUGAAUAAUAUAAAAUAUUCUUUUCCUAAUUCAGUUAGCCCUCCAUUAUAAAAUAUUCCUAAACUCAAUAUUCUCUCAUUUCUAGGAAACUAAGGAAAAUCUAUAGUGAGGAAGUUAAAUAAUGUUUGCUUUCACAGUAAGUUCCCAACCAGCAAUUUUUUUGUCAAAUGCUAAAAUCAGUUGAAGCAGCCUACAUUAUUAAUAUUAAUUAGUUAUUUCCCCCCUAAAUUUCAGUGUUUGGAGAGGAAAAAAGGAGCUGGGGUUAUUAUCUAGCAAAAUUAUAUCUAAUAUGUUAAAUAAGCUCUUUCCUUCAAACCUCUGUGGGAGAAGCAUAUCAGUUGAGAAGACUGAGGUAUAGUUAUAAAGGAGAUGUGUGCCCUUAGUACAGUUCUGGGACUUUAUAACUCUUUGACCUUCAGUAUAGAACUUUGAAAUUCACUUCACAGGACUUGGAUGGAAAUUGAUACAUUAGAAAAGGGAAAGAAGUCAUUCAUGCACUUCCCAAAUAUUAAUGGAAGUUUGCUACUGUAUGUGUUGCAGAAUUUAGUAGAGAGUGCUUCCUUAUACUUAGAUGGAUAGCAUUUUAUAAUAUUUCUCAAUAAAUUAAAUGUGAAUAUUCAAAAGGCAAGUCCUUCAAAGAAAGAAUAACACUGAAAUUAAAAUAUAUCAUAAUAAAGUUAUUAACAUUGAAAUAAAAAUAUAUCAUAAUAAAAUCAUUACUUAAGUGUAAAUCUGAUUCAUUGCUAAAAUCAGAUUCACUAACUUACUGUUUUAAAAUUAGAAUAAAAAUAUUCAAGCAUUACUCAGGAAAGGAAUACAGUAAACUCAACUGAAAAUGAAAGGAAAUACAAAAUUUUAACCUCAUAGCAAGGAGGAAGAAUAGAAUGGAAAGAUUUAAAAAAUUAAUAAGAAAGAAUCUAUUGUGACUUUUUGUUGAAAUUAGAAUAAUAGUGAGAAAGAAAGAAAAUAUUUAACAGAUUACAAUUGUAAAAGUUUUAGAAAAAUAGCAAAUGUCUAUUAUUCGCUCCAAAAACCUAACUUUACAGGAUAAUUGCCCAAAGUUUCACAUAGUUUUACCCUUGAAGCUACUUCUUGGAAAUGCUAUUAAUGAGGCAGUAGUAAUAAUGAAACACCUCAUAGGAAAGAUGGUUCAUUAUUCAAUGCAGUACAGUCAAGCAAGUUUCAACUUAUGUGAUUGUGAUAAGCAGAAAGUGACAAAGAUAGAAGAAACUUUGUUCAGAGUACAAUUUAAGUAUAGUAUUAGGGAAAUGAUUUUAAAAGACAUUUACCCUGAAAUUAGAACCAACUCCUCUGCUUCAAAUUAUUUUUACUUUAUUUCAUUUCAUUUGUUCUUAUUGAAGUUAUUUGAUUUUGAGAUUCUUUCCUCUACCUUGACAUAUUUUUUAAAGAUAUAUUGUCUUAUGUAUAUUAAUAAUUCUUAAAUGUGUUGUAAAUGAUUGAUUUUAAUUGAGAAAAAAAUGAUGUUGACUUUUUAUGGUUCAAUUUUUGGCAGAUAUUUCUUCUGAAAACUUCUGUUGACCAUAAAAGUGGAAUUGUGAUUUUGAAUUAGAUUGUGCUUAUUUAAUGUAGCAUGUAUGUUUCUUGGCUUAACGUGGGCUGUUUCACAAAAUUGUAUAAAACUGGCAUACUUUUUUUUCUUCUAGUGUAGGAUGGUACACUGCAUGCAUUAUUCAACUUGUUGAAGCAUCCUAGAGAAUUUUUCUUUAUUGUCAAAAUUAUAGUAACAAGUAGAAAUUAAUUAUUUGUUAUAACACAAAGAACUUUUAUGCUAUGUUUGCAAUUUUGACUUACAUUGAAGUCUUGAUUUGCAAAUGUGAGUGAAAGAUUGACUUUAAAUUUCCAGAGAUGAUUAGCUGCCAGCUCUAAUCAAAUUGAGAAGUAAUUAGCAAAUCAAAACUUGAUUAGCUCUUUGCUUGAUUUACUAAAAUUAUAGUUUACGCAGUUUAAAUAUGGGGGAGGGGAGUUGUUGUCUAUACUCCAGAUAGAGUAUAGUCUACACUGUUGGGCAAGAGGGGAGCCCACUUACUGCUUUACAUAUUCUCCAAAUCUGAUAAAACAUUUUUGUCCUUUUCAGAUACUGCAUUAUUACAUAUUAGUCUUUUAUUGUUUUUCUUUUCUUUUUUUGAGAAGAUGGUGUUCUAUCAUUUGUCAUAUAUAGCAACAAAAUUACCUGUAAUUUAAAACUUUAAUAAUUUUUCUAUUUUAAUUUUUUGAUUUUAUUUAAGGUAUACAGGUUUCAUGUAUUUUGUAUAUUCAGAUUUAGGAACACAAAGAAUCAUUUUUAAUCUACGUGGAGUCAUUGUUUAACCCUGUUGUCAGGUGUAUGCAAGACUUUUCCAAUUCCUGGAUGUUACAGCUUUGCAAGGUGUGCUGGUCCAUGCACUAAAUUAUUGAAUAUUUAAAAUUCAGGGAUAUGAAACCAGUGCACCACUGUUAUUACUCUGCCAACCCACCAUAACAGAAUAUCACAGCUGGGAGACCUGAACAGUAUAAAUUCAUUUUCUUUCAGUUCUGGAGACUUGAAGUUCAAGAUCAAGUUGCCAAUAGGAUUGGUGACUGGUGAGGGCCUGGUUUAUAUGCUACUACUUUCUAGAUUUGUCCUCAGAUGGCUUUUUAUUUUUGUGUGCAGAGAGAGAUGGCAUCUCCCCCUCCUCUUUUCUGUUCUUUAAAAUUUAUUUUAUUUAUUUGAAAGGCAGAGUUAUAUAUAGAAAGAAAGAGAGAGAGAGAGAAAGAGAGAGAAAGAAAGAAAGAUAAGGAGAAUCUUCCAUCUACUGGCUCACUCCCCAAAUGGCAAAAAUGGCCAGCACUGGGCCAGACCAAAGCAAGGAGACAGGAGCCAGGAGCCAGAAGCUUCCUCCUGGUCACUCACACUGGUGCAGGUGCACAAGAACUUGGGCCGUCUUCUAUUGGUUUUUCCAGACACAUUAGCAGGGAGCUGGAUUGGAAGUGGAGCAGCCAGGACCCAAACUGGUGCCAUGUGAGAUGCUGGCAUUGCAGAUGAUGUACCCUCUUAUAGGUAUACUCAUUCUGUUGGAUUAGGGUCCCACUCUUAUGACCCCAUUUAACCUUUUAUUAUUUCAUUAUCAUCCCUAUUUCCAAGUACAGUAAACUUAACAGGCUAGAGCUUCAACAUAUGGCUUGGGGAUGGUGGCAUAUUUCAGUUUAUAAUAACCACUGCUCAGUGUUUCACUACAAAGCAGAUAUGGUAGCGAAUGAUACAAGUGAAGACAGCUGUGGCUAUGCAGCAAGCACGCCUGCCCCUCUACCUGCAGGGAAGUGGGAGGUAUAGCAGCAGAAAUCACAACCUCUUGAGAGAACAGUCAGAGCUACCAUGAUUCUUUCCAAAUUCAUCCUCUUGGAAUGGGUAUUUGGGUCACAAAUAUCAAGCAUUUUUCCCAAAACUAAGUAUGAAUGUCCUGAGCAAGAUUUCAAUGUGGAACUAAAUGACUCUCUCUCCUUUCUGGAACUCCAAGUACUAUCAUGUUUCACUUAGCAAUAAUAAUACAUACCAAGAACUGUGCCAUUAGGGGAGUGUGCAACCAUCAUAGAGUGCAUUUACAGAAACUAAGACAGCUUUGAUGUCACUACGACACCGUCAGGUGUGUAAUCUGUUGUUGAAUAAAGUGCUGUAUGUGGUGCAUUGUCUGUAUAUAUUACUAUAGCUGAGUUCCUAGAAUUACCAGUUCAUAGCUCAUAAUUUUCCAUCACUUCUAGGCUGAUUAUCUUUCUUGGCAACGGCAGGAGGUUUAAAAUAUUGUUCAUACAUCCAGAAAACCCUUUCUGUGGACCUCCAGGAAUGGGAGCACCAUUAGAAAGGGGAUUUCCUUUUGAGAUUUCCUAUUUUUGUAAUUGAAAUUUCAGUUUUUGAAAAAUAUUGAUUAUAAAGACACCCAUCUCUUUCUCUGACUUUUUCUCAGACUAGAAAGUGUUCUAUAGGAUAUAUUUAGGUAUGUGUUUAAUAGUUAUAUUAACAUUCCUACUUGUAUAAAAUUAAAACCACAUUUUAUAUUAUAAUUGAGAAAUGUAUGUCUCACCAUCUGAUUUAUGGUUAGAUUUUUUUCUGAGAUUUUUAUUUAUUUAUUUGAGAGGUAGAAUUACAGGCAGAGAGAGGGAGAGACAGAGAUAAAGGUCUUCCAUCUGUUGGUUCACUCCCCAAAUGGCUGCAAAGGCUGGAGCUAAACUAUUCCGAAGCCAGGAGCCAAGAGCUUCUUUGGAAUAUCCCAGAGGGGUAUAAGGGGACCAAGCACGUGGACCAUCUUCUACUGCUUUCCCAGGCCAUAAGCAGAGAGCAGGAUAGGAAGAGGAGCAGCCAGGACAGGAACCAGUGCCCAUAUAGUAUGCCUGCAUCACAGAUGGAGGCUUAGCCUAUUACAGCACAGCACCGGCCCCUUUUUAGAUUCUUGUAAGUAAAAUAUUUCAAACAAGAUUAAGUUUAGAAAUAGAACAAAACUGUUGACACAGUUAUAAAGCAGUCACAUUUUAAAUUAAAUAUUAACAUCUGUCUUUAAAUAACUUAAUAAAAAUAUAUAAACAUCUGCCUAGCAAAUACAUUAUUCAAACAUUUGAUAUCUAAAUACCUAAACUUUUAAGGAAGACACUAUAUCUUUAGGCAUUAUUUCUGUAAAUUUUACCUCACAAUAUCUUAUACAUGUAAUUAAAUAAAAGCUUGCUCUUAUUGGUCCUGUCAGUAAGUAGGCUAUGGUAGGGUUUGUCAAAGUCAUUAAGUGAUUCUCAAGUAAUUUGAAGCUGGAUUUGCUAGAAUAAAUUUAUGCCUUCAAAUGUGUUCAUAACAAAAUAAUUAUUUGUUAAUAUUCCUUAAUAAAAUUAAUCUUGGAAAUAAUAUUAAUAUUAAUACAUUUGCUGACGUGUAACUUUUUUAAAGAUUUAUUUACUUGAAAUUCAGAGCUACAAAGAGGCAUAGCACACACACAGAGAGAGAGAGAGAGAGGAAGAGAGAGAGAGAGAGAGAGAUCCCCCGUCCCCUAAUUCUCUCUUCAAAUAGCUGCAAUGGCCAGAGCUGGGCUGAUCUGAAGCAAGGAGCCAGGAACUUCCUCUAGGCCUCUUGUGUGGGUGCAGGGGCCCCAACACUUGGACCAUCUUCUGCUGCCCUCCCAGGCACAGCAACAGGGAGCAGAGGGGAACCAAACCUGCGCCCAAAUGGGAUGCCAGUACUGCAAGUGGCGGCUUUACUGUGUGCCACAGUGCUGGCCCCAGACAUGUAACUCUUACAAAGUUAACAAAUGUAAAGAAUAUCUUCACAAUAUGAAUGUAAAAACAUUUAGAAAUGAGAGGGAAAAAAACAAAAGAAAGAAAUAAUUACUCCGAUAAGUUCAACAUUUGGUGGAGGACAAGAUUAUGUGUAGAAAUUCAAUCCUCAAAGAUGGUCACUACUGACCCUGGAUGUUCUCUCUAUGGAGUCUCUUCUACAAUUGUGUUUGAACUAAAAUCUGCCCUCAUGAGUUAGGAAAGUAUAUAUCUAGAUUGGUAAUACAUCUUGUUAGAAGUCUGCUGAGACCAUUGAGACCCUUGAACCUAGGAUGAAUUCUAGUCAACCAUUCCUGGUCAUUCGAUUUUGCAACUGAGAUAAAGACAUUAGGUUCAGUAUCAAACUUAACUAUCUAAGUCUUGUAACUCCCUUUUCCUUUGGAAGGACCUCAUCUCAUCUGCCCCUUAAGAGGGUGACUGGGUAUUUGGCUUCACGAUCACUUAUAAAGGCGGCAGCCCAGUUAGUUGCCAAAGCACUCAUGGAAAACAACAAUCAAUUUUUAUGUGCAUGUGGCUUGUUUAGAAGAAUUAUUCUGAAAGUACCUAAAAGCUAAGUAGUUUGCUGGUAUAUGGUUACUGACUGAGCUCAGUCGCCAAGCAGGAGUACAAAAACUGACUUCAAGUUUCUGUCAUGGCAGUUUUCACAGAAGAUAAAUCAUCUGCUGCAACAGAAUAGAACUGCAACAAAUAGUUUGCCUUUAAUUCCACUCUAUUUCCAAAUCCCAAUGUGAAAAAGUUAGCAUGCCAUUUGCCAUCCCUCUCAUACAACUUUUAAGUUUUAUUUAUUUUCAUUUCAUUUGAAAAAGCAGAGAGACACAGAGAGACAGUCCUAGAGAGAUCUGCCGUCUGCUGAUUUACUCCCCAAACGCCCACAACAGCUGGGGCUGGACCAGGAGGAAACAGGAUCCAGAAACUCAAUCCAGGUGUCCCAUAUGAGAGACAGGCACCUAAGAACUUGAGCCAUCAUCUGCUAUUUCCCAGAGUGGACAUUGGCACAGAGCUGAAUCCAAAGCAGAGUAGCUUGAACUCUAACCAGACAUUCUGAUAUGGUAUAUGGCUAUCCUGAUUGGCAACUUAAUAGCUGCACCAAACAUCUGCCUCUCCCGCAAACAGGAUCAAGUACUCUUCACUCUAUUAGGUAAUUGUUAAAGAAACCAGCUUAUCAUCCAGGCAUAUUUUCAUGCUAUUUGUAAAUAAAACAUAAAAUAAUCUUGAGGUCCAAUAGAAAGUUUUGAAACCAUAGGUAUAUAAGAUACUGUAGAGGGGACUCAGUUUGAAUGUUAGUCAUUCUGUUUGCUACUAAAAUAAUAACAGAGGUAGUCUGUUAUUACUUAUACUUGAGGAAUAGGACAGAUUUAGAUCUGAGGGAUAAAAUAUUACUACAAUAUCUUUCAUAUUAGCUGCCAAUGUGUCUUACUGGUAUACCUACUCUAUUUAAAAUGUACAUAAAUCAGUUCUUCUGAGUGUCUAUAUAUCUUUGGUCUAGAGGAAAACAUGAUGUAGAUCUCCUGUAGACACACAGAGUAUGUCUGUGUAUGGUAUAUCAUAUAUUUAUCUGUGAGAAUGCAUACAUAUAAUGACAUAUUUAUGACACAUAAUUGAUCUAUGAUUAUCAGGAACUCUCCAUUCUAAACCUUUUUUGAACAUGAGUUAGAUUUGUGAUCUUGGGCACUGAAAUGAUUAGGGCUUUCAUGUCAUCUGUAAUAUGAGUGAGACUGAAUUAAACCAGGAUGUAAAAAUAUGAGGGAUAAAAAUCCCCUAAACCCCACUCACUCUCCAGAAAGCACUCAUGGAAGACACAGAUAAUUAAUUUGUCAUGGAUUCUUUUUUUUGGCUCAAAAUGUAGGAUAUUGAUCCAAAAUUACAUAGCAUAGCCACUGUGUAUCAUUUGGCUUUAGCUCAGAAGAAACCUUUUUGUAAUUCCAAUGGUAGAUAAUCACAAAAUCUUUUAGCAAAAAUAAGCAAAAAAAUUAUUGUAUUAAUCCUUUUGCCUAGAAAUCUGCCUCAUUCUUAAUAGAUCCCAGGAAUUGGUAGAAUAUACACAUCUUUGCAGUUGACUUAGAAGUUCUUAAAAAUAUUAAGAUAAAGCACAACUGUUAGAGUAUCCCUAGUCAGUACAACACAUAUUCAACUUCAUCUAGCUCAAAAACUUGAGAGAAUAUUUUUGUAAAUUGCUUUUGUGUGUGAUAGUGAUUAUUUGAGGAUACAUUUCAAUGUAAAAAUAGGUUUUGUUUCCAAUUACACUUUAAGCACCAUUUGAAUAGAAUAUGUAUGUUAUCCCCUGCAUAGCAUGAAAGGCAAAAAAUAGUUGUGAUGCAGUUUUCUUUUAUAAAAAUAAGGUUACUAAAUUUAUUUAAAAACAUUUCAAUGAAUAACUCCACAAUUACUGAAAACAAACAAACAGACUACCAGCCAAGUAGAUAUCCAUUCACUCAUUGUCUAUCGGCUAUGAUCCAUAUUUCUUUAGCCAGCACAAAGAGAAGAAGGGAUGUGAUUUGCCUCUCGGUUUCUUUUCUUGUGCCAGGAGUUCUUCCCUGGGCUGACUUUGAUCUGCUUUUUAUCAUUUCCCUGCAACCCCAUCCUUAUUUCCUCCUUCAUUGAUUUUUUUUUUUUGAUUUUAUUAAUUUCAUUUGUUUCUUUCCCUAAUAUACAAUUGAAAUGAUUUACCUCUUGCCCAUCAAGUAAUUGUUUCACAGCACUCUGGUCUGAACUUGAAUACAAACUUUGCCCAUGUUUCUCGGGUCUAAUUUAGGUAAUUGACAGAGACAAAGCCAGUUCACAAAGUUAAUUAAAAUUUUCCAUCUUUUCACUUUUAAUUAGUUUCAUUAGUAUGACACAUUUCUCCCAUUUAAUGUAUCACUGUUUUCACUAGGCAGUACACAGGUUAUGCAAGUUCGUCAAAUAAAUAGUGAUUAUUAAAAUAAUCUUUAAGUAGACACUAUUUUGAUGUUUUAAUUGUCCUGUCUUUUAACAGCUUAAUGUUGUAAUUAGUAUUUACUUCAUUUGUGGAGAAAUUUUAAUUGAGCCUUGUAGUUUUUUUUUUUUUUUUCUUCUUCUUCUCUGGGAAGUAACUUGUGGUAUAUAAAGGAAGUGAAAAGAAUAGUAUAAUGUCUCUAACUACAGUGUGGUACCUGAAAUAUCACCUGAAAACUAAGGAAUAUUUAAAUUUAUCCUGAUUCCAUAUACUAUUCCUUAUUACUUAAAAAUCAUUUAUUAUCUGGGAUAUAUAAAAAUUGUUAAAUUCUAUUUAAAUUCAAAAGAACUUUUAUGGGAGUUCUAUAAAUUAAUGUCAUAUUCAAUCUGAAAUAUCCAAUAAGCACUGGAGACUUUUAUAAAUACAGAUAUUUCCCCACUGGGCUUAGUUUUCAACCCACUUGCCUGCACAUAUAUACAGAGACCCCCCCCACACACACACACACACGCACACACACACAAGAGUACUGGUAUUUUUUCCGUAGUUGUUUUUGAGGUUUACUCUUUUGAAAGCCUCUAUGAAUACAUAGAAAUGAAGCAUCUAUCGUGAAUAUUAGUUUAGGUUCUAAUUUAUUUAUUUAUUUGCUUAUAAAUUCAGACUCAUCAGAAGCUCCCUCCUGUCCUUUCCCUCCCACAGUGGAUCUGAUGUCAAGGAAAAAGGAAAAACAGAAAGCUAAUGUUUUGGGGAGUUUUGUUUUUGAAUAUCUUAGUUGUACUUUAUUCAUGUAGAGAAAUUAAGCAGUCUUAAUGGGAGGGAGUAUUUUUACAAUAUAACUUCCUUUCUGUGGACAUAGAGGCCGUUUAAAUAAAUUUCUAUGUAAAGCAAUAACAAAAGCAAUUUGGAAGAUGAAUACAUCAUAAAAAGUGUUAUUUGAAUUUGGACCACUUCACUGACUCCUAAGAGAACAGAUUAACUUCAUUUUCUUAUAAUGAUCAUCUUAACAAUAAUUUCUAUUUUCUAAUUAGACUGCUUCUGUUUCUUAAGAGUUUAUUUUGCUUAUCUAUUUUAAGAGUAAAUAAUUAUAUGUGUGUAUUGGUUAGUGGAAUGUUUUUGUAUAAUGCUUUUAAAUUAAUUAGUUUAUAGAAUAGAAAAGUUAGCAAGUAUAAAAUAUGGCUAAGAUACAUAUUGCUUCUGAUUUUUUAUCUUAAAUUCUAUUUCCUAGGAAGUUUUCUUUGUUUUGAAAUUUGUGCACAAUAUGUAUUCUAAAGCCAAGGAAUAUCUAGUUUUUGUUGUUUGUUCCAAUCCACACAGGUCUCAAUAUUACUGUCUCCUGGUGCCUUUUGUAACAAAAAUCAGAAAUGUAGUUAGCUUCCAUAAGAAUAGCUUUUAUUAUUUUUUGUGUUUUAUUUUUAGAAAAAUUUUAUUUAAGAUAUACAAACCACACAUUUCAUAUAUAUAAAUUUAGAAACCUACUAAUUCUUCCCACCCUACCCUUCUUGCCCAUACUCCCACCCUUCUUUUUCUCUUCCUCUUCCUAUUCUCAUUCUUAUUUUAUACAAAGAUCUAUUUUCUUUCUUUUUUUUUUUUUUUUUGACAGGCAGAAUUAGACAGUGAGAGAGAGAGACAGAGAGAAAGGUCUUCCUUCCGUUGGGUCACCCCCCAAAUGGCCACUACGGCUGGUGUGCUGCGCCUAUCCGAAGCCAGGAGCCAGGUGCUUCCUCCUGGUCUCCCAUGCAGGUGCAGGGGCCCAAGUACUUGGGCCAUCCUCCACUGCCCUCCCAGGCCACAGCAGAGAACUGGACUGGAAGAGGAGCAGCCGGGACAGAAUCUGGCACCCCGACCGAGACUAGAACCUGGGGUGCCGGUGCCGCAGGUGGAGGAUUAGCCUAGUGAGCCAUGGCACCGGCCACAAAGAUCUAUUUUCAACUUUAAGGAUAUGGAGGUCUUGGAAGUAAAGACUUCAUUAACUUCACCCAGGGUCAGCAUUAGAAUGCCCUCAGAUCAUCAAGUACACCCUCAUUCUAUAAUCAUGAAUUUGGCCAUGAAACUCAACUCAACUAUGCAUGGACUCAUACACUACACAUCAAAACUCAUAUUCUUGGCCAGGUGUUGGGUGGAGAUGUUAAGAUGCUGUUUGGGACACCUGCAUCCCAUGUUGGAAUGCCUAGGUUUUUGUCCAGGCACUGGUUCCAAUCCAGCUUCCUUCUGAUGAGCUCCCUGGGAAACAGCAGGUAAUGGCUCAAGUACUUGGGUCCCUGACACCCAUGUGAGAGGCCUUGAUUGAGUUCCAGGCUCUUAGCUUAGGCCUGGCCCAGUCCAGACUUUUAGUUUCAUUUAGGGAAUGAAUUAGCAAUUAAUGAUCAUUGUCAUUCUGUCUCUCUGUUGCUCCACCUUAGAAAUCAUAAAUAAAUAAAUAAAUGUUUAAAAAUAGAAAUGCCUCAACAAUAAAAUUUUUAAAAAGUUCACAUUCUAAAAGUCAGUUGGCUCAUUACAGUUAUAAAUUAAUUUUCAUUUGGUCAGCUGCUGGUCAACUCUAGCCAGAACAGGUUGUGUCAUGUUAUAAAGCCAGACAGCCAGUUCCAAGGUGGAGGACUCUAAAGUAAGGAUGGUAUGGAGGGCAAGCAUAUGAUGUACAGCUGUUACGCAGCCACCACUCUAAGACUUUGCAGACCUGUUCAGAGUUUUAUCUCCUCAGUGAAACCUCUUCGUUUCUCCUCACCUUCCUCUGCAAGUUCACCUAGCUCUAAUUCUAUUCCAUUAUAGUUAAGUAGUCUUUGCUCUGUAGCCUAUUAUCACUGGUUGUUACUUGUUUUACUUCUAAAAAUGAUGAUCAUGCAUAUAACUUUGCUAUGGCAGAAGGCAAUGAUUUCAGCAUUCAGUUAUCUCCUUCUCUGGAGCACAGGAGUUGAAGUUUUCUGAAGAGUUCUUCCCAAGUCAAGGUUUUUCCACCUAUACUGGCAGGGAAAUAGGGAGAAAUAUUUCUGAGGCAAAAGAUGCCAGUACGCAAAAUCUAUUAUUGGAAUAGGCUUUCAUAUUUGUGUCCAAAACAAUAAGAUGCAUGAACUUAGGCUAGCUGUUAGGGCCCACAUCACAUAGCUGAGUUCUUGGUUUCAUUCCUGACUCCAGCUUCCUGCUAAUGCAGUCUCUGAGAGAUAGUGCUAAUAGUGCAACUAAUUGUGUCCCUGAUACCCACAUGGGAGACCUGGAUUGAGUUCCCACCCUCAACUUUUAGUCCCUGACCAUUGUUGUGUUUUGGGGACUGAACCAGCAGAUGGGAAUCCCCUCUCUCUUUCCCUCCUGGCCUUCCAAAUUAAAACAAAAGCAAAAGAAAAACAAAACAAAUAAAAAUGACAAGCAAAUACAUAUAAUGACAUGAGAAUAAGGUUUGUAAUAUCAUGUUAAGUGAAGAAGUAGUUUCAAAACAUACAUAAACAAUACUGAAUGUUUUUAACUGUUCUAGUGUGUGAGGGCUCGUACAUACAUUUUACGCAGGUCCUUCAAAAAGUUUCUUGAAAAUAUGUUUAUUGGAACACAAAAGCAUUUAGAAAUCCACACAUUGUUUUCUCAUGAUACACAUUUUUCCGUGGAUUUUUUGAAGUCUCCUGAUACACAUGGUUAUCAAAAUUUUUAAAUCAGGAGUUUAAAAAUAUAAGUGAGAAAACCUGGGAAGAUAAAUGCUAAAAUACUAAAUCUGAUUUCUUUAGAUUAGUGGUUUUCAAAGUGUGAACAUUCAGCAUCAACAUUACCUGGGAAUUCAGGAAUACAAAUUACCUCUAUUAGAUCAGAAACUCUGGGAGUAGGGAGUGCUACCCCACAGUCUCAGUUUUAAUAAGCCCAUCAACUCUCCAUAUGAUUGCAUUGGAUACUAAAGUUUGAGAACCAGUAUUCUAAUCUAGAUGAUGUGAUUAGAGGUGAUUUAUUUUCUCCCUGGUGCUUAAUGAACAUGCAGUUUGCUUAAAUUUAUAAAGGGCCAUAAAUGAUAAUUUCUUAAAGAAGGAUGCCUUCUGAAUAGCCAUUUUAUAUAUCUCUGUAAAUCCCAGACUUGUAGCAGUGGUUUGCGUGUAUUACAUACAAUAAAUGCAUGCUGUGUGUUGGUUAAAAUCUGCCUCAAGUAUACCUGUGUCUCUGCCUAUAAUUUAGGAAUAAAAAGGUUUAGUGUAGUCCACCUAGGUCAAAAGUCAUGAUUGAAACCACUUUCAGCAAUAGAGCAUGAAAUAAUUUAUUUUAAUAAAUGUUUUCUGGGCUACAGCAAAAGUGAAAAUUUCUCUUGCAUGAACUACCACAGCAGAAGUAUGAAAUUAUUUGUUUUAAAAGUGCAAAUAGGAGGCCGGCGCCACAGCUCAAUAGGCUAAUCCUCCACCUUCAGCGCCAGUACCCCGGGUUCUAGUCCCUGUCGGGCACCAGGUUCUGUCCUGGUUGCUCCUCUUCCAGUCCAGCUCUCUGCUGUGGCCCGGGAGUGCAGUGGAGGAUGGCCCAAGUGCUUGGGCCCUGCACCCACAUGGGAGACUAGGAUAAGUACCUGGCUCCUGGCUUCGGAUCGGCUGGCACACCACGCUGGCCGCAGCGGCCAUUGGGGGGUGAACCAACGGAAAAGGAAGACCUUUCUCUCUGUCUCUCUCUCACUGUCCACUCUGCCUGUCAAAAAAAAUGCAAUUAAGUUUCAAAUAUUAAGCCUAACUAACUGUUAGGAUGCCUACCUGCCAUAUCAGAUCAUUUAGGUUUGAUUCUUGACUCCAGUAAGCUGCCAAAACCGACCCUGGGCUACAGCGGUGAUGGCUCCAGGGACUAAAUGGAUUCCUGCCACCCACGUGGGAUUGUGCUCCUAGCUCCCAGCCUUGGCUCCAGGCCAGCCCUAACUGUUGUGGCAUAACUUUCUCUCUCUCUUUCUGCCUGUUUCUCUCUCUUUCUCUCUCCCUCCCUCUCUCUCUCUCUCUCUCUCUUCCUCAGUCUCUCAAAUGAAUAAUUUUUUUAAAAAAGAAAGAACUAAUUUAAUAUAUUCUAAAUACAAAUUCUAUUGAACUGGGAGGCAACAUCAACAUCCAAUUGUCCAAUUACUGUUUUUGAAUUUACUGAUGUCUAUAUAGAUUAAAUUGAGGGUUACUUAACAAACCAAUGACCAAUAACCAAGCACAUUGCCAGCUAGUCUAUGCAGAUUUGUUCUCCACCCAUUUAGAUUUUCCUGUCUUGAAAGAUUUUAUAACAGUUGCUUUACUUGCACAUUUUAUAUUACAUAUUUUGGGCAUUAUAAACACAUGAUCAGUUAACAAGAAGAAAUUCGACAGUGUGGGAGGUGGGGGGAGGAAUAAAGACUGAUCCCAAAACACUUAAAGAGAUGCAAAGAGUAAAAAAGAUACAUUUGUAUUAUAAUUCUUAAGAUCAACUUCUGUGGGUCCUCUGAUUCAGACUAAGAAAACAAAAAUUAAGGGCUUUGACGUGGUAAAUUCAUUUUAAGGCUUGAUUAGGAAAGGAUCUGCUUUUACAAUCACUGUGGUAGUUGUUGGCUGUACUCAGUUGCUUAUUUACUAUUAGACUGAGACACUUAGUUCUAUGCCAACAGCAAAUAAAAAAGGUAAUGACUUUUGAAAUAACCUAAUAUGAUCAUGGACUAGCAAAGUUAUCACUUUCCUGGGACACAGUGAGUGGUGAGGGCAGAUGAUAGAAAAUGAUAUCAGAGGGUCUGGCGCCGUGGCGUUGCGGGUAAAGCCACCAUCUGCAGGGCUGGCAUCCCCAUAUGGGCGCCGGUUCGAGUCCGGCUGCUCCACUUCCAACCCAGCUUUCUGCUGUGGCCUGGGAAAACAGUAGAAGAUGGCCCAAGUGCUUGGGCCCCUGCAUCUACAUGGGAGACCCGGAGGAAGCUCCUGGCUCCUGGCUUCAGAUCAUCACAGCUCUGGCUAUUGAGGCCAAUUGGGGAGUGAACCAGUGGAUGGAAGACCUCUCUCUCUCUCUCUCUCUCUCUCUCUUUCCCCCUCUCUCUCUCUUUCUCUCUCUCUUUCCCUCUCUCUCUCUCUCUCUCUGUAGCUCUGUCAAAUAAAUAAAUAAAUCUUUUUUAAAAAAGGAAAAUUAUAUCAAAGUAGAGCCAGAUGGGAAGAUUGUCUAUGGCCAUAUUUUUCAAAUGCCCGUGUGUAUACAAAUAACCUAGAAAUAUUUGACCUGCGUAUUUUAAAUGCAGAAAGUAUGGGAUGUGCCUGAGGUUCUACAUGUCUAACAAUGUGUUAUUGAUGUCGCUGGUUUGACAACCACAUUUUGAGUAUCAAAUAAUGAAGAUAUCUGCGAUAAGUGUGCAAACUGUCCACUUUUACUGUAGAUGAGAUAUGGAUUCAUGAGAGGGCUUUAUGCAAAAAUGUUACAUUAUCCUUUCCCAGCUAAUAUUCUGAGUCGACAUUCACCUGCAGGAAUAGACAUAGAAAGACAAAAAAAAAUUAUUGGAAUAGCAGUUGACAGGUGAUGUUGUUCUAGACAGAGAGUAGCCUUAGUGGGAUUAUUUUAAGUAUAUCUUGAAACUAAAACCUAUAGGAUAAUUUGGUGGGCUGAGUAUUAUAUGGGAGGGAAUAGAAAGAGUAUAAAAGGACUUUGUGGUUUUGGAUUGAAGCAAAAAGUUUGGACUUGGGGGUUAUUAUUAUCUUUUUUUUUUUUUUUGAGAAGACUACAAACAAGAGUAAAAGGUUUGUCAGAGAAAAGGAUCAGGAGUUGUGACAAUUUAAAUUUAAGAUGUUUAUUAGACAUAGAGAUGGAGAUGCUGAAUAUACAAUAUUUGGAGUUCAAGGAAUAGAUCUUUUCCUCAAGGCCAAUUUGCAAAUAAGCAAAAUAUAGUUUUUAAAUUUAUGAGAUUUUAUGCAUCAUCUAAGUUCUAAUUUCUGAUAGAUAAGCAGUCUAAAUAUUGGAAUAUUAUAGUUUUAGGAGAUUUAUAUGGUGAAGAUCGGUCAGCAAACAACACUGAAAAAGGUACACCAAUAAUUUAAAAGCUGUGUGGUGUAGCGGUACAGCUGCCACAUGCAGUACUGGAUGCUCUACUUCCAAUCUAGCUCCCUGCUAUGGCGCCUGGAAAAACCAGGAAGAUGGCCCAAGUCCUUGGGCCCCUGCACCCCUGUGGGAGACCAGGGCAUGAUGAUGGAUAUUUGCAUGAUUACAGAUAAACACCUGUGGCAAAAUGUAUGCAAAUAUAGGUAAUGAAUUAAAUUCUGACCCUCAAUCCAUAUGUGGUAGAGCACCAAAGAAUGUGUGCCCAUUUGGAAAUAAUUUAAUUGCAGAUGUGAUGAGUUAAGGUGAAAUACACUGGAGAAGAGUGGGUCCCUGAUCCAGUAUGACUGGUAUCCUUCCAAAAAAGGUAAUUUUGGGGAAAAGAAAUAAACACAGGAAGACUUCCAUGUGGAGACAAAACCGGAGAUCCAUAAGCCAAAGAAUGGCAAAGAUUGCCAAGUCCUAGCCAAAUAAUCCAAUAUGAAUGCCAGAUGUCUAUCUAGUUAUCAUCUCUCUGUUGAUCUACUUCUUUGUCUAGCCAGCUGACAUCUAUCCAUUUCUCUGUGUAUCUAGGUAAUAUACAGGUAUAUAAAUACAUGUAUGUAUAUAUGUAUCUUUAUCUUCCAGGAUUCCUGAAAUAGCCAGUUAAAAACAAAACCACAAAUAUUAAUUUCCAUUAGUGUCCUUAAUUCUUUUUAGAAAUUUCUCAUGGACCAUGCUAGAUCACUUCCCAGAUUUGGUCCAUUUGGUGUGUAUGAUAUGGUCCUGCGAUUUCCUUUGCUUAGGUCUUAGACUCACCUCAUCACAUAAAAUUGACAUCCUCAUCAUAACUGUAUUUAGAAAAUGUGUGGUUGUCUUAAGGAAGGCAUCUGGCUUACCAGAACAAUCAAGUUUAUUUUUUUCUGUUCUUCUUAGUGUAUUUUAUGUCAGGUAAACUCAGAACCAAUUAUAUAUUUGUGUUAAACAAUUGUUUAUCUAGUCUUCUAAUACCAUUUUAUAAACUUGAGGAUUUGGAUAAUGUGUUGUCAUUUUUUUACCCCUUAUAUCAAAACAUUUUGCACUAGGAAAAGUCUCAAUAAAAAUUCUGCUAUAAAGGUAAUUUAGUUAAAAAAGGAAACAACCCCAUGUGUAAUACAAAAUCACACCUUCAUCCCACCCCAAACUCCCAGAAAAAUCUGCAAGAAAUAGGAAAUAGUGUCAGGAAAGCAUGCUAUUAGCAAUUUUAAUUACUGGUCUCCUUUACUUCAGAAUUUCAAAUGAAACACUGCAAUUUUUGUACCAUUUAAAUUUACUAAUAAAUUCAACACACAAAUUGAAAAUAAAACAUGUAGCAGCUUUCAAAAGCAUAGCUCAGGAUUUAGUAUUCAUAAAUGUUGCCCAGGAUCUUGUAAAAAUAGAGAUUCAGGUUCAGUUCAUAUAGGGUAGGGUCUAAAAUGUUUAGGAUUUCCAGCAAGUUCUAAGAUGGAACUGUUGAGGCUCAGGUAUAUAACUCACUUUGAUUAGGAAUCAGUUCUAGUUGUGGUCAUAUUUUGUCUUAGUAGGUACAGAAUUUUGACUUUCUAAAAUAUAUGCAAAUGUCUUCUUAAGGACUUGAGUGCUGGUGUUUAUUCAGUUUCUGCUUCAUUAUUUUGAAACCCACAACUUCUGGGCUCAGUGCUGUGGCACAGCAGGUUAAAGCCCCAGCUUGUAGUACAUGCAUCCCAUAUGGGUGCUGGUUCAUGUUCUGGUUGUUCCACUUCUGAUCCAGCUCUCUGCUAUGGCCUGGGAAAGCAGCAGAAGAUGACCCAGUGCUUGGGUUCCUAUACCCAUGAGGGAGACCUGGAAGAAACUCCUGGCUCCUGGCUUCAGCCUUGCCCAGCCCUGGUUGUUCAGGCCAUUUGGAGAGUGAACCAGAGGAUAGCAGACCUCUUUCUCUCUAUCUCUUCUCCCUCUCUCUGUAAUUCUGCCUUUCAAAUAAAUAAAAUGUAAAUCUUGAAAAAAAA